rnacentral:tRNA from 8 species
GGGGCCGUAGGGUAGCUUGGUCCAUCCUGCAAGGCUGGGGGUCUUGCGACUUGAGUUCGAAUCUCAGCGGCCCCACCA